GCCGGACUAGCUCAGGCGGUAGAGCAGCUGCUUCGUAAGCAGAUUGUCGGGAGUUCGAUCCUCUCGUCCGGCA
rnacentral:tRNA from 1 species